AUCACUUAGAAACUAGAUUUGGUGCUGACCCAGGACCAUGUCUUCUUGUGCUCCCUGUCCUGUGUGGGAUUUGUGGCUCAGGCCUACUGUGGCCCCUGGUCUCUGUACCACUUCAUUUUCUGCCAAAUCCUACAUGAGUCUUCCUUUGCCCAUUCCCAGGUAAUAAAGUGAUUUCAGAAACAGUUAUACUCAUGAAUUUAUUAUACAAUUAAGCAGAAUAGGGUGGUUGAUUGACUUGGCAGAAGAAAUUUUCAUCUCCUAAAGUGCCAGGUGAUUGUGUUUGUAUAAGAAUUUUUUUCAACCUGUUCACUCACAGCGCUGGGAGGUAAGUGCCAGUCUUGAGAUUGCCUAAACGUUUUAAACAGUAUGUAGAUAGUACUGCCCCUACUCGCCCUGUGAUCCCAGGCAGUCACAUACAGAACAGGAUGGGGGAUCAGGAGACAUCAGCAGACCACAGGUGUGGAUAAAUGUUAAAGUGUGAGAAAUGAACACAGAACCUGCGGGGCCUGAUUGAAGGACCCUAUAAGACAUUGUCUGUGUGGUAGACUCUCCUGAGAUGGUAGAGUGGAAGGGGAAGGGCCUCCUCCAUUACAAGUCUCAGGGGGCAGGAUCGCCAGUGGGCUGGGAAAGUGAUGCCUCUAGGUGAGAUGGGUAUUCAAUGCCACAGUAAAUUGAUUUGUAUUUUACAAGCACUGUAAAUGCGAAGGAUAUUGAAAGGUAGCCUGGAAAACUUCAGUGUAUGGGCAUAGAGCUCAUGCGCGCGCAUGAGUGGCCAAUGAACGAUACCCGGCCCUCCUCUCUCGGACUUAGCCACGCCCUUCAUUAGUUCCUGAGGGGAUUUUUCAGAACAGAGGAUAUGGCAGUUUCACCAUCCAAUUCCAUUUUUAUCAGGUGUGCUUCCUGGCCAAAGAAGUCAGAUGAGUGCAUGAGCAGCCCCUUUGAGGACAAGGCUUGGAUUCCCAGGAGCAGACAAGGAACUCUGUGGGCAUACUCCAAGGAAACUGGUGCCAAUCCACAAAUGCCCACUCCUACAUCUUCUCCCUCCUCCCUCCAUUGUGCCACUAUGAUGCUGCUCCUCAACUCACCCAACUUUUCGAAACCCACCACUCCAGUCUCCUCCUACGUUCGAGCAUCACAUCUCCACAGGACCAAGGGCCUUCCAUCCCAUUGGUUUCAAAUAAUGCCAUCCUCUGAUAUAUAUUGGUUGGUGGUCUAUUUUCUGGAAGAUCUGGGUCAUCAGCCAGCAUAUAUUGUUCUUCCUCUAUUGAAGGACCUACUCUGUCACAGGAUAUCCACUGUUUAAGCACCACCACUACCUCAGGAAGUCCACUGUCUGUGUGUCAACUCCACUGUUACAGGACCACAAGUGUCUCAGAACUUCAACUAUCACAGCACUUCUACUGUUCAGGAGCUCAAGAGUCUCAGCAUCUCAAGUGUCACAGGACCUCCUUUGUCCAAGAACUGGACUGUCCAAGCAACACUACUAUUGCGGGACCUCCACUGUCACAGGACUUCCACUGUAGGAGCACUACAACUGUCUCAGGACACCCACUGUCCUAUCACCUCCACUAUCCCAGGAAUUCCACUGUCAUAGCACCACCCAUAGCAACUACAGUGUUUCAGGACAUCAACUGAAGCAAGAUCACCCAUGAUGCUGCAACUUCACUGCCACAGGAUCUCUACAGUGACAGGAAUACCCCUUUAUCAGCAAUUCCAAUUUUGCAGGACCUCCACUGUAGCAGAACCUUCAGUUGUGCAGCAGCUCCCAUGUAGGUAGAUUGACCUCCACGAUCUCAGUGCCUCCACUUUCAAAGGACCUUCACUGUCACAGAACCGGCGCCAUUUCAGUGUCUCCACUGUUGCAGGACCUACCUCUUCACAGGAUCUGCACUGUUGCAGCAACUGUAAUUUCAAUUUUUCAAAGUCAUUGCUGGCUAUUAGAUUUGAGGCUGAAAGAAAUGUGAUGCUACUUUUGAAAGCAUAAGAAUUUGUUCUAUAGCUCUUGUGAUAAAUGCCGUGUGUGCUAGGACCACUAACCUAUGGAAGAUUUCAUGAGCUCAUACCACUCUGCACCUCACUUUGUGGAAGCUGGUGUUUUUAGAAUGUGAUAAACUUCAGGUGAAUGGAUGCAUUCAGCUGCACCACGCUCUAGAGUGGGCUACACAGCAGUCAUAUUGAGUCCUUUCUGGGAAGAGAAGAAAUCCAGAAGAGGGAGAAGGCUUGGGUUGGGGGAAGAAUCAUGAAAUACUUAGAGGAUAUAAGAAGGUAAGAAUUAUGGGGAACUGGAAAACAGAGCCAGAGGAAGAAUGAGCACAGAGCAAACUGGGAAGGAUAAAGUACAAAGGCACGUGGGUUUUGCCAUCUGCGUGUUCUCUGGACAAUCUCCCUUGGCCUCAUUUCUGGGAGAAAACUCUUCCUCCACCCCCUUGUAAGGUUUUAUUCUUGAAGGAAAGCAGCCACACAACUUCAUCAGUGAAUUUCCCCAUUGGAAUUGGUUCAUCCUUUAAUGCCUCUGGGAAAUCCCCAGCUGGGGAAUGUCCUGCUCUCUGCUGAGUGACAGCAGGAAAGUAGGUUGUCCUCUGUUUUCUUGUUGCUACAGCUCUUCUAAGUGUGGCUGAUGGUUGAGUGAAGACACAGGACACUUCUGGUGUGUAUGUAUGCUUUGUUCACUGUGCGUGUUGUCGGGAGUGUCCUGAAAAGAAGGGCAUGCCCAAUGGCUCUUUGCUUCCUCUUUGACUAGCUUUAUGAUCAUAGGGAGACACUAGGCCAUUGGAAGAUGAGGAGAACAAUGUGUCUAUGUUGUGUUCACUUCUGUUCCUAUUUAGUCCUAGAGGGAAAUCAGCAAGGGUAGAGAAUGGGACCGUAACUGGACAAAGCUGCUGAGCCUGUGUUGUGAAGCAAUUCCUGUGUAUAACUUGCUGUUACAUUAAGCAAUAGGAUGCCAUGUUCUGGUUAUACCUUUUUGAUGCAAUGAAUCUAUAAAAUUUUACCUCAAACCUCAAUAUAUUACGUUUCUUCCUCUUUUGGAGUAUCUGGCAUGGGAGGGAUCACUUCUUCAUAAGGAUUUGUGAACCUCUUCCAGUUUUCAUUGACCAGGGGUACAUCAUCACCUCUGAGACUGUCAGCCCAUAGUUCGGAUUGACUUUUAUUAAGAGGCUAAGCUGCCUCUUCUGACACCCCACAGUGAGCAGGGUACACACCUGCUACAACCUGUCUUCUGAACUGUUGUAUGACAACAGAGUCAAAUACAACAGUGAAAUAUAAGCCUACUCCUAAGAUCCAUACGUUUUUUUUUUUUCACCAUCAUAAAGUUGUCCUAGGAAGAGAUCAGGUGCACCAAUAGGGUAAGCACCAUGCUGCCAGUUCAGCAUUUGCCCAGGUUUGUCUUGAGUUGAAGGCC